GACGAACGCUGGCGGCGUGCUUAACACAUGCAAGUCGAGCGGUAAGGCCCUUUCGGGGGUACACGAGCGGCGAACGGGUGAGUAACACGUGGGUGACCUGCCCUUAGCUCUGGGAUAAGCCUGGGAAACUGGGUCUAAUACCGGAUAUGACUCCAUGACGCAUGUUGUGGGGUGGAAAGCCUUGUGCGGCUAGGGGAUGGGCCCGCGGCCUAUCAGCUUGUUGGUGGGGUGAUGGCCUACCAAGGGCGACGACGGGUAGCCGGCCUGAGAGGGCGACCGGCCACACUGGGACUGAGACACGGCCCAGACUCCUACGGGAGGCAGCAGUGGGGAAUCUUGCGCAAUGGGCGAAAGCCUGACGCAGCGACGCCGCGUGAGGGAUGACGGCC
rnacentral:rRNA from 1 species